GUAGUCGUGGCCGAGUGGUUAAGGCGAUGGACUGGAAAUUCCAUUGGUGUCUCCCCGCGCAGGUUCGAAUCCCUGCCGACUACG